UGUGUGUUUUGGGAACAACUUUGUUUUUAUAUGGUUUUAAGGAAAUGAUUUACUGAAACAUCAACCAAAUCUCUGUACAAUGGAAAUCUACAACUGAAUGACUCAAUGAUUUAGCAAAACUUCAGAUGUACAUUUGAUAAAAGUUAUGAAAGAUAUAAAAGAACCCCUCGUCCACAUGAGUGAAUUAAUUAAUGUUAAUAUUAAUAACAGUAGUAUGACCAUUCUCAAAAUUGGCUUUCGAGUUUGCCAAGCGUUACCCUCGUUCAAACACCAAGCUCUGUCCUUCAGGAACCCAACUGUUAGAAAU
rnacentral:lncRNA from 1 species